CUACAUCAUUGACACUCGCCCUUUAAGUGUGGACGUGUAUUGGAACAGCAUGUUGACGUCCCGCCUCCCCACAUGAGCUAUAAAAACGGUUGCUGGAAAGGAUUUUAUUCUUUUCGACUCUCGCUUAUCGUCUUAUACAACUAUCAGUGUUUCAAAUAUGCUGAAAACUUUGCUGACUUGAUUUUUGCUUCAUUGUUGCCCUUGUAAGAGUACAGACUGCAGUCAAGACAUGGUUCUGAACCUCUUACUGUAAAUAUUCUGGAUGAAGUUGGAUUAUACCCAAUAUUAACUCUGAAAGCUGUUUAAAAAACACAUGCCUUGUUAUAGGAUGUCUACGAUUAUGGUCUGUUUUCUGACUUCAAUCAAUCUUCGGUGACUUGCUAGAAACUUCAAAUUUGUUAAGAACAGGCCAAAAAUAGGAAGCAACAUCUCUCCAUUCUGUAUACAAUGUUGAUCAGCAGGAAUACCUGCUAUUCUGUUUCAAAAAUCUGUAAAUGUAUUGCCGUUUCUUGUGGAGUAAGGUAACUGGAUUAAGUGUACCUCAGCUGCAAAAAUGAGUCCUUCCCACAAAUUGCUACAGCCUGACUGGACUUCCCAGGCAAGUCCUUCUGGAUGUUCCAGUUGCAGGUUUUGAAAGUGAACUGUUCCAGGCUUCUUCCUAGAGGUUGCCGAAUGUCUUGUGGCUUCAGUAAACUAAAUGGAUGUUGAAGCAAGGAUUAAAAGCACCUGCGCUUUUGGCAGUCAUACACAGAGGCCUAAAUGUGGAGUGGAUGAAGUCUACACAAGUCUAGUCAGAUCAUUGGGCCAUGUCAACGAGGAGCAUGGAAUUUGUGUGAAACUCAUGAUGUAGUGAAGUUCCUGAUCCUGCAGAGAAACUCCAAUGGAAAUCCAUUAAUGUAUGACAUUGAGUGAAGGAUGCCCUUCAACUGUGAAGUAGUGUGCAAACUUUCAGCAUGGAAAUGGAGACUGAAGAUGCAGCAAGGUCUGGGAGGCGUCUGUCUGCUUCUCAUUGUUCACCAUGUCAUUACCUGAUUUUUUUUGGCACAUAGAUAAUUUGUUACAGCAGUUGACCCACUACAGAUA